rnacentral:rRNA from 1 species
AUUGAACGCUAGCGGCAUGCCUUACACAUGCAAGUCGAACGGCAGCGGGGGAGCUUGCUCCCGCCGGCGAGUGGCGAACGGGUGAGUAAUACACCGGAACGUACCCAGUAGCGGGGGAUAGCCCGGCGAAAGCCGGAUUAAUACCGCAUACGCCCUACGGGAGAAAGGGGGGGAUCGCAAGACCUCUCACUAUUGGAGCGGCCGAUGGCUGAUUAGCUAGUUGGUGGGGUAAAGGCCUACCAAGGCGACGAUCAGUAGCUGGUCUGAGAGGACGACCAGCCACACUGGGACUGAGACACGGCCCAAACUCCUACGGGAGGCAGCAGUGGGGAAUUUUGGACAAUGGGCGAAGGCCUGAUCCAGCAAUGCCGCGUGUGCGAAGAAGGCCUUCGGGUUGUAAAGCACUUUUGUCAGGGAAGAAAUCGUUUGGAUUAAUACCCCGAGCAGUUGACGGUACCUGAAGGAUAAGCACCGGCUAACUACGUGCCAGCAGCCGCAGUAA